rnacentral:rRNA from 1 species
CGUAGGUGGCAAGCGUUGUCCGGAAUUAUUGGGCGUAAAGCGCGCGCAGGCGGUUCCUUAAGUCUGAUGUGAAAUCCCCGGGCUCAACCCGAGAACUGCGUCCGAUACUGGCAGGCUUGAAUCCGGGAGAGGGAUGCGGAAUUCCAGGUGUAGCGGUGAAAUGCGUAGAUAUCUGGAGGAACACCGGUGGCGAAGGCGGCAUCCUGGACCGGCAUUGACGCUGAGGCGCGAAAGCCAGGGGAGCAAACGGGAUUAGAUACCCCGGUAGUCCUGGCCCUAAACGAUGAAUGCUUGGUGUGGCGGGUAUCGAUCCCUGCCGUGCCGAAGCUAACGCAUUAAGCAUUCCGCCUGGGGAGUACGGUCGCAAGGCUG